CCUGAGAAACCUAAAAGUUCGUAAAGAGAGAUUCAAUGUUGACAUAUACAGUAUUCACGUGAGUAGUGAUGUUAGCUWUGCUGGUYGGGAUAAACCUUCCAGUUCAAUUCUAACACAUUUUCAUGUUAUUCUAUUGCUGUACUUGUCGGCGUGCACUUCUCUCUUAGUAGGACGUCCCGACCCGUUAAGUCUUAGCCUACGACCUGGAUGGUAGUCUUUAAUAUUUUUAUAUUGAAGACCUCCGGUGUUUGUCUGGCCUAAGUGCUUGACGGUAAGUAUGACAUGGUAUUGAGCCGCAAUUUUUUUUGCGUCCGGCCUUCCGCAAGUUUAUUGACAAAUUCUGUAUCAUCAUAGACUUUGUGCUAUGUGUAUGGUUUUGUUGGCUGUUUGCCUGGAUGUGCUUUAGGACUGGCUUAUUUGCCUGUCAGGGACGCUUAGGCUUUGGGUACUCUCAGGACCCGUCUUGAAACACGGACCAAGGAGUCUAACAUGUACGCGAGUCAUUGGGUAUAAAUAUUCCUUCGGGAAUUUUUAUAGACAGAACCUARASGCGAAAUAWNAGUAAAGGUSRG
rnacentral:rRNA from 1 species